rnacentral:snRNA from 1 species
GUGCUCGCUUCAGCAGCACAUAUACUAAAAUUGGAAUGAUACAGAGAAGAUUAGCAGGGCCCCUGCGUAAGGGUAUAAUCAUAGUAUAGUUUUUCGUUUUAAUUUU